AAUGAAAAGCCUAGUGGACAUGGCAUCUGCCCGGUAAGCGGAACACUGUGGGUUCGAUUCCCAUCCCUGGACACUUUUAUUU
rnacentral:tRNA from 1 species